GACGAACGCUGGCGGCGUGCUUAACACAUGCAAGUCGAACGGAAAGGCCCUGCUUUUGUGGGGUGCUCGAGUGGCGAACGGGUGAGUAACACGUGAGUAACCUGCCCUUGACUUUGGGAUAACUUCAGGAAACUGGGGCUAAUACCGGAUAGGAGCUCCUGCUGCAUGGUGGGGGUUGGAAAGUUUCGGCGGUUGGGGAUGGACUCGCGGCUUAUCAGCUUGUUGGUGGGGUAGUGGCUUACCAAGGCUUUGACGGGUAGCCGGCCUGAGAGGGUGACCGGCCACAUGGGGACUGAGAUACGGGCGAGAGUGCGACGGGAGGCAGCAGUGGGGAAUAUGGCACAAUGGGCGGAAGCCUGAUGCGGCAACGCCGCGUGCGGGAUGACGGCCUUCGGGUUGUAAACCGCUUUCGCCUGUGACGAAGCGUGAGUGACGGUAAUGGGUAAAGAAGCACCGGCUAACUACGUG
rnacentral:rRNA from 1 species